rnacentral:rRNA from 1 species
UCGAGGCCAGAUCUUUCCGGUUGAUCCUGCCGGACCUGACUGCUACCGGAUUGAUACUAAGCCAUGCGAGUCUUUGUAGCAAUACAAGGCAGACGGCUCAGUAACACGUAGUCAAUCUACCCUAUGGACGGGGAUAACCUCGGGAAACUGAGAAUAAUACCCGAUAGAUCAUUAUGCCUGGAAUGGUUUAUGGUCGAAAUGAUUUAUCGCCGUAGGAUGGGACUGCGGUCUAUCAGCUUGUUGGUGAGGUAAUGGCCCACCAAGGCUAUAACAGAUACGGGCUCUGAGAGGAGAAGCCCGGAGAUGGGUACUGAGACACGGACCCAGGCCCUAUGGGGCGCAGCAGGCGAGAAAACUUUGCAAUGUGCGAAAGCACGACAAGGUUAAUCCGAGUGUUUUCUGCUAAAGAAAUCUUUCGUCAGUCCUAAAAACACUGAUGAAUAAGGGGUGGGCAAGUUCUGGUGUCAGCCGCCGCGGUAAAACCAGCACCUCAAGUGGUCAGGAGGAUUAUUGGGCCUAAAGCAUCCGUAGCCGGCCGUGUAAGUUUUCGGUUAAA